AAGAAAUAAUUAAAAACCGAAAUAGUAAAAUAAAAUAGUAUUUUAGAGUGUCGCUCGGCAUACACAAUAUCAACUCUCGAAAACUAAUAACAUUUUCCAAAACCCGGAAUCUUAUGAUCACAAGCCUUUGAAUGUCUACAAGCAUCUAACUCCAGAAUAUCUAACAAGGAAACAAAAGUACAGAAGGGCUAAUACAAAAAGGGAGAGUAGAAAGGGACCAUUCGGUCUGCGGACGCGACAGAUAUACCUCGAAGUCUCUACAAGUGUCUCGCCUCAUGAGGGAUAAGUCUGAAUGGAGGUACCUGGAUUCGCACAUAAAAAACAUGCGCAGAAAAGGCAUGAGUACACCACAAUGGUACUCAGUAAGUGCCAAGCCUAACCUCGGUCGGUUAGUGACGAGGAAGGUCAGGGCCCUACUGAGGUUAAAUAAAAUACAAGGUAUAACAGUGUAAAAUAAGACAGUAUAAUUAAGUGCAACAGUAAGAAAUAACAUAUAAUAAAAAGAACAACAACAACUAGAAUAGAGACAAAAUAAAUCAGAGGAAGGAAAUACAUCUCAACACAGAGAUAACAAAUGGGGCACCUUCCAGGAUACCGUCUUAUAAUCCCAAUUACAACUAUCUAGUGGAUCUCCCGGAAUACCGUCCGUAGUUCAUGAUAUAUAUCCGAAGGAUCUCCUGGAAUUCCGUCUCGUAGUCCAACUAUCAGUGCACGGGGAUCUACCGGAAUCCCGAUUCGUAGUCCCAAAUAUAAAUACUCAGUACUGGGGGAAUCUACCGGGUGUAGUUUCGUAGUUCCAUAUAACUGUACAGGGGGAUCUACCGGAAUCCCACAUCCGUUGUCCCAAAUAAACAGACAAGGAGGAGAUACUGGAAUCCCACAUCCGUAGUCCCAAAUAAACAGAUAAGGGGGAGCUACCAGAAUCCCACAUCCGUAGUCCCAAAUGUAAAUACACAGCAGCAACAGGAAAAAUAUUCAGCAAAUGUCAAUUUCAUAUUAAGGCAAACAAGUAAUUCUAGCCUAGCAUGCUGCACAGAAUUAAGGUAAAGCAACUUGAGCAAAUAAAGCAAUUAAAUUACUUAGACAUGCUUUCCUAAGCUAACAACAGGCUUAAAGUGCAAGUAAUAUAAACAGGAAAGGAAACAUACUAGUAAUUACUUAAUGAAAACCGGAUUUUCAACAACUAGCACAAGUACGCACUUGUUACCUCACAUACAAGACAUUUCAAUUAUCAAUAAUACCAAAUCCUAAGGGGAAGAUUCCCCAUACAAGGUUAGGUAAGCCACUUACCUAAAACCGGCUCAAAAUCAACUCGAAACCACAUUCUUGCCAUGAGUACUCGACUCCAAGUUGCCAAAAUCUAUUCAAUUCAAUUGCAUAAUGUAAAUAAAACUUCAAGUAACUAAUUCUACAAGUAAAUUCUAAGCUAAUACGCGAAAUUAGGUAAAAUGACCAAAAUGAACCCCAGCCCACGUCUCAGAAUCGGGUAAAAUUUAUUUUUCAGAAUCCUCAUACUCUCACGAGUUCAUGCAUACCAAAAUUAUCCAAAACCAAGGUCAAAUUCCCAAUCAAAAUUCGAAUUCUAGGUCUAAGAACUUUCUUCUAACUUUUCCCCAAAAUUUCACUUCCAAUCCGAAAUUAAAUGACAAACUAAUAAUAGAUCAAUGGAAUACGACUAGAAAGGGUUAAGGAAUCGUUAGCCACUGAUUUCCUCUUCAAAUUCCUCCCAAAAUUUCCCUCUCCCGAGCUCCAAAUCGAAUUUCUAACUUUUGAAACUAAACCCUCGAAAUUCCUAUUUUCUGCCCAGAAAUCCCGCAUCUGCGAUACGCUUCUGGGGUUGGGGAAUUGCUUCUGCGAUUCUCACUUAAAAAUUCCAUCCUCGCACCUACGACCCAGAUGCCGCAUCUGCGGUCCCGCAGGUGCGGUAACCCAUCCGCUUCUGUGGUGCCUGCUCUACUUCUUCCUUGGCCGCUUCUAUGGCUUGACUCCGCAUCUGCAGCCUCUCAACCGCAGAUGCGGUUAUGACAGCAGUCCAAAGACUUCAGCUGCAACCUCUAACUUUCCAACUUCCCGUUAACCGCCCGAAAUCUUGUUGAGGUCCCCGGUACCUCAACCAAAAGCACGAACAAGUCAUAUACCACUAACAGAACUUAUACCAAUCCUUAAAACACCUAAAACAACAUCGAAACAUCGAAUUAACCAUGGAUUCAAGCCUAAGAACUUCAAAAACUCACAAAUCACGUUUUCGAUCAAAAAGUCUAUCAAACCUUGUCUGAAUGUCCUGAAAGUUUGCGCACACGUCACAUUCAACACUACAGAGCUACUCCAACUUUCGGAAUUCCAUUCCGACCCUCGGAUCAAAAUUUUACUACCGAACCGGAAACUUCAAAAAUUCAACUUUCGGCAUUUCAGGCCUAUAUUUGCUACGGACCUCUAAAAGACAAUCCGAACACGCUCCCAAACCCGAAAUCACCCAAGGGGGCUAACAGAACCAUCGGAAUUCCAUUCCGAGGUCGUCUUCACACUGUUCUUACUACGGUCAAAUUUCCAAAACUUAAGCUCUCAUUUACGGACUAAGUGUGGCAAAACUCUCCAAAACUCCAAACAAACCCUCCCAGCAACUCACAAUAGCAGAAACAAACACGGGAAAAAUAGUUAAUAGGGGAUCGGGGCAUUACUUCUUAAAAUGACCGGCCUGGUCGUUACAUCCUCCCACACUUAAACAUUCGUUCAUCCUCGAAUGAGCAUAGAGACAUACCUGAAGUAGUGAAAAGAUGAGGGUAAUGACUGUGCAUAUCCUGCUCGGUCUCCCAGGUCGCCUCCUCGACCGGCUGACCCUGCCACUAAACAUUCUCUAAUGCAAUGUUCUUUGAUCUUAGCUUCCAAACCUGCCCGUCCAAUAUUACCACUAGCUCCUAAACAUAAGAUAGAUCCUUGUCCAACUGGACUGAACUGGAAAUACAACACAUGCGACAGAUCACUGUGAUACCUCCGAAGCAUCGAAACAUGAAAUACUGGAUGAACUCCUGCCAAGCUGGGAGGUAAGGCAAGUUCAUAAGCAACCUCCCCAACACGCCGCAGAAUCUCAAAAGGGCCAAUAAAACUCGAACUCAACUUUCCCUUCUUCCCAAAUCUUAUAACGCCCUUCAUAGGCGAAACCCAAAGCAGAAUCCGCUCUUCAACCAUAUAGGAAACAUCACAACCUUCCAGUCCGUGUAACUCUUCUGUCUGGACUGGGCUGUACAGAGUCUAUCUUGAAUCACCUUAACCUCCUCUAAAGCAUCCUGAACCAAGUCUGUGCCCAAUAAUCUAGCCUCGCUCGGCUCGAACCAACCCAUUGGGGAUCUACAUCGCCUACCAUAUAAAGCCUCAUACGGUGCCAUCUGAAUGCUGGACUGAUAACUGUUGUUGUAGGCAAACUCCGCCAAUGGCAAAAACCGACCCCAAGACCCUCCAAACUCAAUCACCCACACAUGAAGAAUAUCCUCAAGAAUUUGAAUAGUGAGCUCGGACUAUCCGUCCAUCUGAGGGUGAAAUGAUGUACUCAACUCUACCCGAGUAUCCAACUCAUGCUGAAUGGCCCUUCAGCAUUGUGAUGCGAACUGAGUACCCCUAUUAGAAAUGAUGGAAACUGGGAUACCAUGCAAACAAACAAUCUCCAGGAUAUAAAUCUCCGCCAGCCGCUCCGAAGAAUAAGUAGUACACACAGGGAUGAAGUGCGCGGACUUGGUCAACCGAUCCACAAUCACCUAAAUGGCAUCGAACUUCCUCAAAGUCCGUGGGAGCCCAAUUACAAAGUCCAUGGUGAUCCACUCCCACUUUCACUCCGGAAAUCUCUAUCUACUGAAGUAACCCACCCGAUCUUUGGUGCUCAUACUUUAUUUGCUACCAAUUGAGGCACCGAGAUACAAACCCCACUAUAUAUUUCUUCAUCCGCCUCCACCAAUAGUCACAUCUCUGGCACCGCCAUGCUGAACCUUGUCCUUGAGGACAAGCAAAUGAGGGUCAUCAAACUGACGCUCCCUGGUACGAUCAUCUAUUGAAGAACGAGAUACCACACAAGCUAGAACCCGACUAGGCUCCGAAAGAUCAAAUAUCACAAACUGGUUGGCUAAGGCCUGAACAUCCCCUUCCAUAGGCCUCUCUGAUGCUGGUAAAUAAGCCAAACUCCCCAAACUCUCUGCUCGGCGACUCAAGGCAUCGGCCACCACAUUGGUCUUGCCUGGGUGAAUCAAAAUAGUGAAUAUCAUAGUCCUUUAGCAGCUCUAACCAUCUCCUCUAGCGCAAAUUAAGAUCCUUCUGAUACCACGUGGCCCAAGAAUGCCAUGGAAUCCAACCAAAACUCACAUUUCGAGAACUUUGCAUAUAACUUAUUUUCCCUCAAAGUCUAGAAAAAUGUCCUUAGGUGUUGCUCAUGAUAUCCCCGACUCCGGGAAUACACCAAAAUAUCAUUAAUAAAGACAAUGACGAACGAGUCAAAAUAUGGUCGGAACACACUGUGCAUCAAAUUCAUAAAGGCUGUUGGGGCUGUCACACCUCCUUUUUUGCCUACACCCCCGUAAGGGUGUAUAUAAGGGGGGUUUUCCAAUUAAUGUGACAAUCGAAAUGGGAUUAUUUUAUUUAAAGAUUCAGAUUCGCCACUUGGGAGAUUUAUGGUAUCCCAAGUCACCGGUUUAAAAUCCCAAAUCGAGGAAAGGAUUGACUCUGUAUUACAGUCCGCGAACCAGAAAUCCAGGUAAGGAAUUCUGUUAAUCCGGAAGAAGGUGUUAGGCAUUCCCGAGUUCCGUGGUUCUAGUAUGGUUGCUCAACUGUUAUACUCGGCUUAAUUAUCUAACUUUAAAACACUUUUAAACCUAUGUGCAUUUUAAUUUAACUACUUUUAAUUAUUUUAAGGAAGAUUUCAACGUCAUUUAAAACACGUCUUUGGACCACGUCACAUGAAAUGCACCCGCAGUCCGAGACACGUUUUAUUUAACGUUGUUAAGAUUUCGAUUUGGGUCACAUGAAAUGCACACCCGAGUUUAGGAAGAUAAUUUUAAAUUAUGCGCCUAAAGCAACUAUACAUUUUUCAUUUUGCGAGGGCCAUAGAAAAUUCGCUAAAUGGCACGCCUCGAAUUCUAAGGAUUACAAAUAUUCAAGGACAAACUAAAUGAGGGCCGUGCAUUUUGAGAUUUUAUUUGGCACGACGCACCUCAAUUCUAAUUUUAAAGGGAACUCAAAUUAAGCUUUGAGGGCCAUAACCAUAUCUUGCCUAAUAUGGCACACCCCAAAAUGACACCUCCUUUAACUUGUCCAAUGCUUCUGGUGAUUCAACAAAAAUUUAAAAUGCUGAAAAUCCCAACGAUAAGCAACUGUGCAGGAAACAAAAACACCACAAGCAAGUGCAUGUGCUGCGAUGCACCUAGCAUACUGAAUCGCUUCAACGACUCUUUCCCACUAUGUAAAAUGCCAGCAAAGUUGAACUGGUCAUGGCCCAUAUUACCUGAUUCCACAUGCCUUCUAACAACAAUACCAACAUUAACCCCACUUGGUGCAACCAAUGGCCACCAAAUCUAUAAUCAAGUUGUCUUUCUAAGAAGGAAAAAAUAAUAAACUCAAUAUAUAACCUCAAACACACAAUAAGAGCCUAACUAGAAAGAAAUUGAGUAUUUAAUUUCCGUUCAUGAUUCAAAAUCCUAUAAUAAGGUUACUGAAAUUUAGAAAUAGCACUAUGACAUGUUUUAACUUCUAUAACAUUCUAUAAAUGGUUCUCACACUAAAACCUCAACUAAACAAAACUUAAUAAACUCAUAUGCAAAUCUAAAAUUAUCAGGUAGAGGAUUCAACAAAGAUUUCUACAGCAACACAUUAAUAUCUCAAACCAGGGAAGAUCAAAUAUAUAAUAACAAGACAUACAAACUUAUCACCAUAGACAUGAAAUAAAUGAAGAAGAAGAACAAAAAACAGACCUCACGAGAAGUUUCCUUUUUUAAUUAAGUUGCUGCUCGGAUGUGUCACAAAGAAUGCCAAAUGACGAAACCUGAUAAAACAACUGCGAAAUGACAGAAACUGCAACCUCCGACCUCGAACGGCGAUGAACAACGACCACGAAUAUGGAACGACGCUAUUUUCCAUCCGUUUUAUAACACCCUCCCUUCCUAUCUACGCGAGUGUGUACCGUUCCCCCCCCCCCCCUCCCCAUUUUCUGUAUAUGUGUGCCUCUUUUUAAUUUGAGAAAAGGAAGGAGAUCAAAUAGGAAAGGAGGAGGCGCUAGAUUCUAGCUUUUGGGAAUUGGAUAUUAAGGGUUUCUUCUUUUUUUUUUGUUGCUAAUCUCUUGCGUUAAAACAUUAAUGAGAAUGGGAAGAGGGAUCGACCAUGGCUUCACUGAAGAAAGCCCUCUUUGUUGGAUCUCUAUUGUUGAUCAGCGGUGCUAGCUUCAGAUUUUUGGGCGUCU
rnacentral:lncRNA from 1 species